CCCCUGCCAAUUUCAUAUUCCGUUAUAGUUUAAGAACAGGAGCACUAUUCACCGCCUAUUACAAUGUGUGCACGUAUGUAUCUUUAAUGAUCGGCGGUAUUGUUCUAUCAGUACAAAUCCAAUAUUGUAUCCAGUGUCCUGGAUACACAGAGCAAACUUCACACUCUAUUAUCAUCAACAAUACCGUGCUUUUAGCCUUGAUGGUUGUACUGAACGUGUGGCUCAUUUGGGGUAUUCUAAAGGAGAAAUGGACCAUCGUUUUAUCCUGGGUAGUUCUAUCUGGCGUAUGGCUCUUACAGGGAAUAUUUCUUACGAUAACACUCAACUGUCUAUCGGCAAGAAAUUUACAUUUCUUUAGUUGGAUACUCACUUUGAUUUCUACUGUUUUCUUUAUGUUUUUCAACUUUUAUUCUUGGUUGGUCGUAUAUGCAUAUUUUCUAGAACUAAGGAAAGGUUCUGAAAUAGAGGAAACUACGCUACCCUAACGCAACGGGUGACAAUGCGGAGGGAUUUUCCGUCAUACAAUUCGGCCUUUGGUACACCGUAUAAGCAUACUACCUAGAACUUAGAAGACCUGUCCCUCGUGCUGUUGUUGAUGUUGAAAUUUCCACUGGAUACUGAAACCGUUGUGUACUAAAGACGAUGAUGAACCAACUACUACAACUUAGAUCGUACUCAUACGAAUUGCAAUUCGACUAUAUCACUAUGGACACAGUGUGACUGCCAUGUGCAGUGUAGUCGGUUGUAUGGAUACUAGCGACUACGCACUAAAGCUCAUUUUACAAGGUGCGAAUUUUUGUAGCCAUAGCAACGUCAUGACAAUAAAUUGUAUAACGGAAGUCGGAUGAAAAACGGAAAUAGUACCAGAUACGUACUAAAAACCAGAUCGCGCGCUUUUCAGAGAAUUCUCACGCGAUCUCGGGAAUUCCUGUAGGUACCGUAUCAUAUUCAUUUUGUACUUCAGUAAAUUGACAUUAAAGUUCAUUAUGGUAUGCCUCAAUUUCGUUACAAAAAUUCGAUUCCAUACCGUUUCACGGCAACGUAAUAUAAGCCUAAACAUAACAAGUAUUGACGUGUUGAAACUGUAUGGUGCUUCACUUUGUGAAUUUUGUAGGAAUCUCCGGAAUCUUGAGAAACGUUUUGUCAUUACUUCUUUGUCACUCAAAUAAACGUAAGACACUUCCAUGUAUUCAAUGUAUAUUUUGCUUUCGAGCCUUAUCCACUAUUGGCGGUCUUUUUGUUCGAAAUAUUAAGAAUUUUAGGUUCUAGUGAAGGUGUCAGCGCAUUUAUUUCCACUCUUUACUCUUUCAUUAAUGAUACAUGUACACCUGGAUAUUUGAAAUAUAAAUUUCAAUUUUUGGGUGCAUCCCAUAAUCGCAAUCUUCGCUCAGACAGCAAAUUGACUCUUUUAAUUCUUUCUCACCGUACUGGUUUUUCUUUCUUCAGCCAAUACGACUCUGGAACGCUCUACCGCCCCAUAUUCAAAAAGCGCCGAAUAAGCUAGCUUUCAAGCCAUUA